UACGUAGGGGGCAAGCGUUGUCCGGAUUUAUUGGGCGUAAAGAGCGUGUAGGCGGCUAGAUAGGUCCGUUGUGAAAACUCGAGGCUCAACCUCGAGACGUCGAUGGAAACCAUCUGGCUAGAGUCCGGAAGAGGAGAGUGGAAUUCCUGGUGUAGCGGUGAAAUGCGCAGAUAUCAGGAAGAACAUCCGUGGCGAAGGCGGCUCUCUGGGACGUGACUGACGCUGAGACGCGAAAGCGUGGGGAGCAAACAGG
rnacentral:rRNA from 1 species